rnacentral:rRNA from 1 species
GUCUACGGCCAUGCCACCCUGAACAUGCUCAAUCUCUUCUGAUCUUGAAAGCUAAGCAGGGUUGGGCCUGGUUAGUAUAUGAAUGGGAGACCACCUAGGAAUACCAGGUAGUGUAGGUU